GACAGAGGGUGCAAACGUUUGUUCGGAAUUACUGGGCGUAAAGCGCGUGUAGGCGGCUUCGCAAGUCGGGUGUGAAAUCCCACGGCUCAACCGUGGAAGUGCAUUCGAAACUGCAAGGCUAGAGUCCUGGAGAGGAAGGUGGAAUGCUUGGUGUAGAGGUGAAAUUCGUAGAUAUCAAGCGGAACACCGGUGGCGAAGGCGACCUCUGGACAGUGACUGACGCUGAGACGCGAAAGCGUGGGGAGCAAACAGGG
rnacentral:rRNA from 1 species